UAAUACGUAGGGUGCGAGCGUUAAUCGGAAUUACUGGGCGUAAAGCGUGCGCAGGCGGCUUCGCAAGUCAGACGUGAAAUCCCCGGGCUUAACCUGGGAAUGGCGUUUGAAACUACGGAGCUGGAGUGUGGCAGAGGGAGGUAGAAUUCCACGUGUAGCGGUGAAAUGCGUAGAUAUGUGGAGGAAUACCGAUGGCGAAGGCAGCCUCCUGGGCCAACACUGACGCUCAUGCACGAAAGCGUGGGGAGCAAACAGGAUUAGAUACCCUGGUAGUCCACGCCCUAAACUAUGUCAACUAGUUGUUGGGGGAGUUAAAUCCCUUAGUAACGCAGCUAACGCGUGAAGUUGACCGCCUGGGGAGUACGGUCGCAAGAUUAAAACUUAAAUGAAUUGACGG
rnacentral:rRNA from 1 species